rnacentral:rRNA from 1 species
UACGUAGGGUGCGAGCGUUAAUCGGAAUUACUGGGCGUAAAGCGUGCGUAGGCGGUUCGUUAAGUUCGUUGUGAAAGCCCCGGGCUCAACCUGGGAACUGCAAUGGAAACUGGCGGGCUUGAGUGUGGCAGAGGGGGGUGGAAUUCCGCGUGUAGCAGUGAAAUGCGUAGAGAUGCGGAGGAACACCGAUGGCGAAGGCAGCCCCCUGGGCCAACACUGACGCUCAGGCACGAAAGCCAGGGGAGCAAACGGG